CCUGAAGGUGGAGCCAGUGGGGAGUGAGACAGAGAAGGGAGACAGGCUGACUUCAGCCAAGGAGAGGACAGUCGGACAGUCACGGAGUUUACCAAGACGGCAUGACGGCUGAGAGAUGACUCCCCCUUUCAUAAGGGGCUGCUGCUCCUACGGCCUCCAUUGUUCUGCACGGCAAGUAAGAUCCAGAGAAGUGACGGCCUGACCACCUCCACCAGCAGGCGCUCGCUGCCUACCUUCUGCUGAAACACACCUGCAAUGCACCAGCGUCGUGCAAGUAGAAGGAGCCCGAGUCUCAUUCCAG